rnacentral:rRNA from 1 species
UAGGGAAUCUUCGGCAAUGGACGGAAGUCUGACCGAGCAACGCCGCGUGAGUGAAGAAGGUUUUCGGAUCGUAAAGCUCUGUUGUAAGAGGAGAACGAGUGUGAGAGUGGAAAGUUCACACUGUGACGGUAUCUUACCAGAAAGGGACGGCUAACUACGUGCCAGCAGCCGCGGUAAUACGUAGGUCCCGAGCGUUGUCCGGAUUUAUUGGGCGUAAAGCGAGCGCAGGCGGUUAGAUAAGUCUGAAGUUAAAGGCUGUGGCUUAACCAUAGUAGGCUUUGGAAACUGUUUAACUUGAGUGCAAGAGGGGAGAGUGGAAUUCCAUGUGUAGCGGUGAAAUGCGUAGAUAUAUGGAGGAACACCGGUGGCGAAAGCGGCUCUCUGGCUUGUAACUGACGCUGAGGCUCGAAAGCGUGGGGAGCAAACAGGAUUAGAUACCCUGGUAGUCCACGCUGUAAACGAUGAGUGCUAGGUGUUAGACCCUUUCCGGGGUUUAGUGCCGUAGCUAACGCAUUAAGCACUCCGCCUGGGGAGUACGACCGCAAGGUUG